GCCUGGGUGGUUCAGUCAGUUGGGCACCUGACUUUGGCUCAGGUCAUGAUCUCACCAUUCGUGGGUUCAAGCCCCGCAUCGGGCU
rnacentral:tRNA from 1 species